AAAGAUGGGACGCUUUUUAUUCUACCAUUUAGCUCCCUGUAACAGAAAGCAUUGGAGUCAGUGGAGUCUUGACCCCUGCCACAUGACAUUACUUCCUGGCCCCAGCCAAAAGCAAAUGCAACCAGUCUCCCUUGCCAGCACUCCUGUGUGUCACAUCUUCAUUACACCCAAAACCUGCUUGAUGAAACAGCCCCAGAAAAGGACAAUGGAACAGACCUGGGGCUGAUUAAACUGGGCUUAGCUCUUCCACAUAAUGAAUGAAAAUCAUUGGACUUUAUUUCCUUCCUAUAAUUAGAAGUGGACAUACUGAAUUAACCCCCCAAGUCUGGUAUGUUUUGAUACCCUUCCAUUGCGCUCCUUCGUUGUUACUUCCUGCUGAUUCAUGGAUACCUAAUAAUAAUUUUAAUAUUGAGUGUUGGUGAAAAGUGCUGCAUUAGCACCCCUGGAGCCUCAAGGCCACUGUCUAUGGACUCACUUCUGCCUUGAUGCCCAAAAGACAUGGAAACAAAUCACACAGAAUCCAUCACUCCAAGUUCCUCCUGCCGCUGGUCUUCCCAAUGUCCAUCUUCUCGGUUUGUAAAUUUGAGACUGUGCACAUUCUGGGGCAGGAGCGACCUUCAUUUUGUGCCACGUAAGCUCCAAGUAUAUUGCCAGUGCUUAAAAACAAUAAGUGAGAGUACCUAGUGGGUAUAGCACACAGUACAAACUUCAUCUUGUUCUCCAUGGCACCUCUCCCUCAGCCUUCAGAGGCAACCUCUAGACAUGAGGAAGGUAGUUCAGACUCUGUUCCCAUUCAGUCUUUGGCCUCUCUGCUGACACUGCCAAAUAGUACAAACCAUGGUGAUAGCCAUUGUGAAGCCACCAAACCAGUUCUGCCUGGGGCACUGUAUUGCCACCAGAUUGUGACAACAUUCAGUUACUACCAACCCAGGCUGGAUUCCAAUCUAGGGCCGCCCAGAGGUGGGAACAAGUGGGGGCAAUUUGCCCCGGGCCCCACAGGGCCCCCAUGAGCCUGGCCCGGGGGUGGUCCAGGUCUUUGGCAUUUUUCAGCGGCGGGGGGUCCUUCAGUGCUGCCGAGGAUGUGGAGCAACUGAAGGGCCCUCCGCCACCGAAAUGCUGCCGAAGACCUGGACCGCCGCCAGGGGGAAGUAGGAGUGGGGGAGUGGUGCCCUCCUUUUCCCACCUGUCUGCACCUGUUGGCAGCAAGGAUAUUAAGUCCAGUGGCCAAUAUAUCAGGUGCCUCAAUUUUUGGGAUGCCUGACCUAAGACAUUGCAAAACGGCUUGAUUUCCAGUGGGUGAGUGCUUGACGCAGGCUGAAAAUUUGGUCCCUGUAUGGUAUCUAAAGUUCGGCAUCCAAAUAUUUAGGCACCCACAAUCAUUAGUUGCUUUAAAAAAAAAUCUUGUCCAUGCAUAUCUAUAGACAAUACAUUUCUAUCCCACAUAACAGAACAGAGACCAAGCCAUCAGCAUUAACCUCUGUAUGCUACUUGCAGCCAGGGCAAGACGCAGGAAGUAUGGGUCAUGGUGAACAUGAAUUAUGUCUCUUUAUUAAAGUGAGUUUAGCAUUCAAAAAAGAAAGCCAGAUCAUCAGCAUUGAACACUGGAGCUUUUGCUUAGCCACACAGCAAGUUUCCCCAAUGCAGCCCCUCCAGUGGGUUCAUCCUAUAACGUGUGGAGGUCCCUCCAGAGGGAGGUUAGUGACUGAUAGAAUAAAGCUAAGCUGGGUGCUAAUGAUUAUCUCAUGAUCUAGCGCUCUGGCCCCUUAUUGAUCCUCUCAUCUGUCUAGCCCCUCAAAUGAAUUGACUCCUCAUUUGACACUAGCUCUUUUGCCUUCUACCAAUGGUGCAUCUAUACGGCGGCUGGGGGCAUGAAUGGCAGCUGAUGUAGACGUACCAGCGCCAGCUUUAAUCUGACUUGCUCAAUAAAAAAUAGCAGCACAGGCUUCAGUGCGCGUUGCACAACCCCAUCUACCCCUCCCCCGCCCCCAGGCCUGUACUUGCUGGUGCAGCCCAAGGCACGACGCCCUCACUGCUAUUUUUAGUGAGCGAGCUACAGUACAGCUAGUGUGAGUACGUCUACACAAACUGCAGCUCAAACCUAGGGCUGCCAUGGAGACGUACUCGAAGACAUUUUCACACUAUGUGCUUAAAAUGCAUGCAGAUGAACCGUCAGCUGUGACUGCACCCUGAGUUCUGUUCUCCACGUUAGCGAGUAGGGGACUUCCAGCAGCCUGAUACAGCCUGAACACUGUGGCCACCUUCCAGAAAUAAAGGCAGCUUCAGGAAGCAGUUCCUUUUAGCCUUCAUGUCAUCUCACUGCCCCAUAGCAAAUAAUCCCUGUCCUAUUAUUGGGCACCAGGUUUGAUGGUGCACCGGGCACCAGGAUGUAAUUAAAAUCAUACACUCAUAUUACCUAUGGUGGGUUAUAAACUAAUACACAAUAGAUUUUCAAUUGGAGAGGGUCAGAUCCUCGUCUCUCACCAGAUGUAUUGUGCAGAUUUACUCCUCAUUUUCCCCAGUACAACGUGAGGUCAGAAUCAGAUUCUUUUUUCCAGUGAACUUCAGAAAGGGGGUUCUAACUGAACUGGUCUUCGUUUCAAGCAAUGGCUUUUGAAACUGCUCUCUCCCCACUGACUCACAAGAUGGGACAGUGCUCUGAAGUGAGUGGGGCACUCCAGAUGGGGUUUGCCCCGAGCAGAAUUUAUGACAUUUAAAUAUCGCCAAUGACG